AGGAGGAGCGUCUAAACGAGGAGCGAUUAGAAGCUAGACGCUUCGCCCUAUGGUUUCAAGAGCUGAUGGAGUGUGAUUCAGGGUACUCGUCAGUUGACUCGUCAGCUGACUCGUUAUUGGCGUACCGCGAUUAGUACGAGAUAUACAAACGGGCGGGGGAAGAACGCGCAAUACACAGGGGAACGAGGCUUUCGGGGAUGUGCAACCCCCGGGAGGGCGGAUCAUCAUCACGCACGAUACAGCCCGUUAUUUCAAACGUUUUCAACUACGUGGUCGGGAGAUAACAUUGCGUAUCCGCCAACCUCACGCUGGCGCAAACGUGACAGCAUGGCUUGA